UUUCUCCAGUCUACUAUUUACUCAUUUCCCGAAGACCUAGAAGGCUAAAACCUCUCUCUCUCUCUCUCUCUGGAGCAAUCGUAAGAUGGACGAGUACUUGCAGUACAUGAAGACUUUGCGCUCUCAGAUGAACGAUGUGGAGGAUCAAGCGGCGAAGAUUUCUGUCGAAGAGCAAAUGCAGUUAACCACUAUUCAAACCAUGGAAAA